CAGAACGAACGCUGGCUGCGUGCUUACACAUGCAAGUCGAGCGGAAAGGCCUCUUCGGGGGUACUCGAGCGGCGAACGGGUGAGUAACACGUGAGUAACCUGCCCCAGUCUUUGGGAUAACCCUCGGAAACGGGGGCUAAUACCGGAUACGACUCGCGGCCGCAUGGUUGUGGGUGGAAAGGUUUUUCUGGUCUGGGAUGGGCUCGCGGCCUAUCAGCUUGUUGGUGGGGUGAUGGCCUACCAAGGCGACGACGGGUAGCCGGCCUGAGAGGGCGACCGGCCACACUGGGACUGAGACACGGCCCACACUCCUACGGGAGGCAGCAUUGGG
rnacentral:rRNA from 1 species